GCUCCGGUGGUAUAAUGGCGUAGAGCACACCCGCCCGGCUAGCAGGAGGUGCGGGUUCGAGUCCUGCUUGGCGCU
rnacentral:tRNA from 1 species